AUGAUUUAUUUUUAAAAAAGAGUGACUGGUUUAAUGAAAUUUUCAUGAUUUACAAAAUGUAUGUGUAUGGAGAGUAAAAUAAAAGUUGUCCCCCUUUAUACAGAAUUUGAUCAACUAGAGUUUGUACAUCUAAUAACAUUCCCAAAAAAUUACUGAGCAAAUAAAUCUUUUUAUUUGAAAUUUCAAUUACUAGUAAUAACAGAAUUGUGUUACUGAGUAGGACUUUACCAGGUAAUUAUUGUUAAUGCAUGCUUUAUCAAAUCAAUAUACUAGUACAUGUACAUGUAUAUAUAUUGAAUAAAAUAUAAAAACUUU
rnacentral:misc_RNA from 1 species